GGUUAUAUUGCAUCUCUGAUUUUGUUAUGAUUAAUAAAUAAAUUAAUGCCAAUCUUUGGCCAAAAAACAUGAUAUUAAUUAAGGAAUUUGAAAUUUGAAGUUAUACAAAGAUGUUAAAUUUGGUCAAUGAAAAUCAUACAUUGACCUAUGGAUAUUUGUUUUUUGUGUUAUAUGUACAUAUGUAUAGGAAGAUGUGGUAUGAGUGCCAAUGAGACAACUCUCCAUCCAAGUAACAAUUUAUAAAAGUAAACCAUUAUAGGUCAAGGUGCGGCCUUCAACAUAGAGCCUUGGCUCACACCAGACAGCAAGUAUAUUUGUAUGUAUCACGAUUUUGUGCUGAUUCUGUCAGUUCUGACUUUAUUACACCUAUAGAUAAUAAAAUUGAGAAUGGAAUUGGGAAUAUCUAUACAUUAAAUGAUUUCAUGUCUAUCAAACAAUCUAAUGCCCAAUUUUUUUAGAAUUACAGCCACACGAUUAAUGAUCUGCCUUUCCAAAAUGAAAAUGACAUGAAAAAA
rnacentral:lncRNA from 1 species